GACGAACGCUGGCGGCGUGCUUAACACAUGCAAGUCGAACGGAAAGGCCCUGCUUUUGUGGGGUGCUCGAGUGGCGAACGGGUGAGUAACACGUGAGUAACCUGCCCUUGACUUUGGGAUAACUUAAGGAAACUGGAGCUAAUACCGGAUAGGAGCUCCUGCUGCAUGGUGGGGGUUGGAAAGUUUCGGCGGUUGGGGAUGGACUCGCGGCUUAUCAGCUUGUUGGUGGGGUUGUGGCUUACCAAGGCUUUGACGGGUAGCCGGCCUGAGAGGGUGACCGGCCACAUUGGGACUGAGAUGCGGCCCAGACUCCUACGGGAGGCAGCAGUGGGGAAUAGUGCACAAUGGGCGGAAGCCUGAUGCAGCAACGCCGCGUGCGGGAUGACGGCCUUCGGGUUGUAAACCGCUUUCGCCUGUGACGAAGCGUGAGUGACGGUAAUGGGUAAAGAAGCACCGGCUAACUACGUG
rnacentral:rRNA from 1 species